rnacentral:rRNA from 1 species
UACAGAGGGGGCAAGCGUUGUUCGGAAUUACUGGGCGUAAAGGGUGCGUAGGUGGUUGUUUAAGUCUGCUGUGAAAGCCCCGGGCUCAACCUGGGAAUGGCAGUGGAUACUGGACAGCUAGAGUGCGGUAGAGGGUAGUGGAAUUCCCGGUGUAGCAGUGAAAUGCGUAGAGAUCGGGAGGAACACCAGUGGCGAAGGCGGCUACCUGGACCAGCACUGACACUGAAGCACGAAAGCGUGGGGAGCAAACGGG